AUGUUGAUUGCUGGUCAAUCACUUUUCCAACGUUUUCUUUCAGCUUUUGGAUCAGUUUGUUGAAUUAUUCAUUAAUCCGUCCUUUCUAAUUUGUUCGUUCGAUUUUUGAUGGACAACUAAUUUAUGACAUGUAACCUUUCAUUUCGCUUAACUACAUAGUUCAAAAGGAAGUUGUUUGUAUGGAUCAACAAGGUUGGUUCGAAAGGUUUGAAUUUUUGUUCGGCAUAUACUUUUCCUAUUCAAACUAAAGUUAUAUGUACAAAUAUCUAAAGUAGUGAAGUUCUUUGUAUAGAUCGACUGGGUUGGUUCAAAAGCUUUGAAUUUCCGUUCGGCAUAUAUUUCUCUUAUUCAAACUGACGUUAUCCAUACUAAUAUCUAAAGUAUUGGUACGACUUGAUACAUUUCCUGACAAAGGAAUCAGUAAACUUGAUUUUUGAGCCAGCCGCAACAUUUCCGGCUGCUGGCUUGCAACACCCGUUGUUCUUCCAUCCUGUACCGGCAGCUUUUAUCAAUUUUUUUCUCUUUUAUUAUGUAUGUUGAUACCUAAUUCAUCUUCUAUUUUGACAAUGCAACUGCGGAUGCCAUAAUGGAUCAGAGACUUCUUGUGGACUUCAUCACAAAAAAAACUACAGACUAGACCUGCAAGGUUCAGGUAAUUGACAAGUUUCGCCCUUGCAAGAGCAAAGACUCAUCUGUCCAUUUUCACACAAUACUCGUGCAAGAUGAAAAAUUCAUCUUCUAUUUUGACAAUGCAACUGCGGAUGCCAUAAUGGAUCAGAGACUUCUUGUGGACUUCAUCACAAAAAAAACUACAGACUAGACCUGCAAGGUUCAGGUAAUUGACAAGUUUCGCCCUUGCAAGAGCAAAGACUCAUCUGUCCAUUUUCACACAAUACUCGUGCAAGAUGAAAAAGUAAGUUUCUCUCCAUAUCCACCCCCUAAAUACUCAAGCUGAUACUGUAAGCGUUAGCUACAAUAACGCUUUAGAAUCCGCAAAAUAUUUGUUAUGAAAAAAGGAAUUUGCACCUCAGUAAAGACAGAUUGAAAAGUCUACUAUUUUCCUCUAUAAUUCUAACAGCAUAUUUGAAGCUGUUUCUCUUUCACUUAACUACAGGAACAGCAGGUUUCCAUAGUUCUAUACAGCGAUGACAUUCCCAAAUACAAGAACUUGUUCCUCCUUUUCCACACAUAUGUUGUUUCUUGUGCGAAAGUUAGGGAUGCCCGUGGCUACUCGAUACGAGCCGGUAGGUACGAAUGGGUAGCAGACAAAUACACAAUUGUUGAGCCGAUUACCGACAACGAUGGAUUGGAAGCACCACUGGCUGCUCUAGAAAAGUUGAGCCCACUUCCUUUCUCAGCGAUUGAACAACAACAUCCAGGUUCUGAAUUUGUAUGUUGCUUCCCAUUACACCAGACUUACUGGCAGUAGUAGUUAACUGCAGCGCCCUGCAAUACACAGCUGACCAGAGCAAACACUUUCGGGAAGCGAUUGUGAUGGAUCAAAGGCAAGUUAGUCUCUCCCUUGCAUGAAGUUCACCAAACCUUCUAUUUGCUUGGUAAAAUAUGCUUUCACUAUAACAAUUUCUGCGUUUGGUAUACCGACCAGCAAGAAACCUUUUCUAUUUACUAUAUGGGAUGACCUAGCUGACAAUGAAGGGACUACCUUAUUGGAUCACCUACACGAGCAUCCCGCCAUUCUUGCCAAGCGUAUAGGCAUCACUGAAUUCCGUGGUGUUUUGAGAUUGGCAACAAGAUAUCAAACAACAAUUUUACCAAAUCCUCAAUACGUGCAGGCAAUUAGACUGAUGAACUGGUAUACAUU